GGGGUUGUAGCAUAAGCCGGUAGUGUCUUCGGCUCCAGACCGAAGGAUCAGGGUUCAAAUCCCUGCAGCCCCA
rnacentral:tRNA from 1 species